CGAGAGGUGCAAGCGUUAUUCGGAAUUAUUGGGCGUAAAGGGUGCGUAGGCGGCUUGUUAAGUUUGUUGUUAAAGACUUUGGCUUAACUGAAGAAAAGCAACAAAUACUGGCGAGCUAGAGGGUGAAAGAGAGAAGUGGAAUUCCCGGAGUAGCGGUAAAAUGCGUAGAUCUCGGGAGGAACACCAAUGGCGAAGGCUGCUUCUUGGUUCACUACUGACGCUGAGGCACGAAAGCGUGGGGAGCAAACAGGAUUAGAUACCCUGGUAGUCCACGCUGUAAACGAUGAUCACUAGAUGUUGGUCCGAUUUUUUGGAUCAGUGUCGUAGCUAACGCGUUAAGUGAUUCGCCUGGGGAUUACGGUCGCAAGACUA
rnacentral:rRNA from 1 species